rnacentral:rRNA from 1 species
UACUCUUAGCGGAUCACUCGGCUCGUGAGUCGAUGAAGAAUGCAGCUAGCUGCUAGAAUUAAUAUGAAUUGCAGGACACAUCGAUCGAUACUUUGAACGCACUUGCGGCCCCAGGUUCCUCCCAGGGCUACGCCUGUCUGAGCGUCG